UACGUAGGGGGCAAGCGUUGUCCGGAUUUAUUGGACGUAAAGAGCGUGUAGGCGGCCUGGUAGGUCUGCUGUGAAAACUCGAGGCUCAACCUCGAGAUGUCGGCGGAAACCAUCUGGCUAGAGUCCGGAAGAGGAGAGUGGAAUUCCUGGUGUAGCGGUGAAAUGCGCAGAUAUCAGGAAGAACACCGGUGGCGAAGGCGGCUUGCUGGGCCAGUUCUGACGCUGAGGAGCGAAAGCGUGGGGAGCGAACAGG
rnacentral:rRNA from 1 species